GUGAGGAAUAUUGCGCAAUGGAGGCAACUCUGACGCAGCCAUGCCGCGUGCAGGAAGGAGGCGCUACGCGUUGUAAACUGCUUUUAACCGGGAAGAAACCCCAGGACGUGUCCUGGGUUGACGGUACCGGAGGAAUAAGCACCGGCUAACUUCGUGCCAGCAGCCGCGGUAAUACGAAGGGUGCAAGCGUUAUCCGGAUUCAUUGGGUUUAAAGGGUGCGUAGGCGGAGCGUUAAGUCAGUGGUGAAAUCCUGCAGCUUAACUGUAGACUUGCCAUUGAUACUGGCGCUCUUGAGUGCGCUUGAAGUGGGCGGAAUGUGCCGUGUAGCGGUGAAAUGCUUAGAUAUGGCACAGAACACCAAUUGCGAAGGCAGCUCACUAAGGCGAUACUGACGCUGAGGCACGAAAGCGUGGGAUCGAACAGGAUUAGAAACCCCAGUAGUCC
rnacentral:rRNA from 1 species